rnacentral:lncRNA from 1 species
AAAAAGAAAACAAAAUUAAAUGUGGAUCAGUCGAGUGCGCGCCACCAAGUCUAGCGGACGAUUGAGGAACUAUAUACUUUUGCUUGUGAUUACUAAGCAAUGGCACAGACACUAGCGUGUAUCUAAGUAUAUCUUAGACACCAUUGACUGUGUUUCGGAUGGCACGUUAAACUGUAGGUCCCGGCUGUCAUUGAACAUCCUUGGCAGUCGUUACGGGUAGUCAGAAGCCAGUAAGUCUGACACCAGUCUAACCAAGGGGUAUUGGGUUGCCCGGGUAACUGGGUUGAGGGGGUCAGAUAGGGCAGUCGCUCCUUGUAAAGCACUGGUACUCAGCUACAUCCGGUUAGACUGGAAGCCGACCCCAACGUAGUUUGGGAAAAAGGCUCGGAGGAUGA